rnacentral:misc_RNA from 1 species
UUGAAAGUAUAGUUAUCGGCACGGAUCUUGAGCGCUGAUUAAACUGCGCAGCAAAGCAAGCUUAGCAAAAGCUGCAAGAGGUGCCACAUACCUUUACAAAUUAGUGCCUUUAACUUUAUGACUUUACCGAUACUUAGUUGUAACUCGUUUGAAAUAGGCUAUUUUCAAUAAGAAUAAACUUCAAAUUAUUUUUAUAACAUUUACAUUAAAUUUGACUUGGUUUGAAAUAAUUUAAUUAGUACCGAAGCUCAGUUGAAGCAUCUGAAAAAUGUUUGUUUAAUAUUUAAAUUUGCAGAUGGUUGUCUCCAGUUAACUGGAUAUUAACCAUAUGAUUUUUUUUCAUAUGUAUAUAAUUAUUAUUGUGUCUGUGCAAUAAAGUACCUAACAUUUUUGUGUGAUUUAAACUUAAAAUAUAACUUAUAGCUAGUAAUUUUAAAUAUAACUUCAAAUCAUCGCUAAAGGUUGUAAAAAGAUAACACCAAUAUAAAUCCCAUUGUCUUAUCUCAUCGACUUGCCAUCAUUGCCUUUUAUGCCCGGUUCCUAUAUCCAGAAAACGACUCGUUUUUGCUUACUAACCGUUAAAUUUAAAACACGUCAUGGAAAUUUAACUGUUAGAGAUCAAAACGGACAGUUUUUUUUUUUUAAUUUAGGAACAAGGCUUUAGUGUAUCUUUUGCUCGUUAAUCGAAAUAUAUCUGUACAAAUAACUUGUAUGAUAGUUGUAAAAUUAUUAUUAUAUAAAGUUGUUUUCGUGUCAUUACUGAAUGAUUGUACGAAAUGGCAAAACGCCCAAAUAAUGUUAUAAUUGUCAAACUUAUAAAAUAAAAAUAUAAUAAAACUAUUUAGUAGUAUUAUUAUAUAAUUAACA